rnacentral:tRNA from 1 species
UCCCUGGAGGACUAGUGGUUAGGCCAUGGCGCUCUCACUACUGUGGCGCGAGUUUGAUUCCCGGCCAGGGAA